rnacentral:rRNA from 1 species
GACGAACGCUGGCGGCGUGCUUAACACAUGCAAGUCGAACGGUAAGGCCUUCGGGUACACGAGUGGCGAACGGGUGAGUAACACGUGGGUGAUCUGCCCUGCACUUCGGGAUAAGCCUGGGAAACUGGGUCUAAUACCGGAUAGGACCAUGGACUUCACGGUUUGUGGUGGAAAGCUUUUGCGGUGUGGGAUGGUCCCGCGGCCUAUCAGCUUGUUGGUGGGGUAAUGGCCUACCAAGGCGACGACGGGUAGCCGGCCUGAGAGGGUGUCCGGGCACACUGGAACUGAGAUACGGCCCAGACUCCUACGGGAGGCAGCAGUGGGGAAUGUUGCACAAUGGGCGCAAGCCUGAUGCAGCGACGCCGCGUGGGGGAUGACGGCCUUCGGGUUGUAAACCUCUUUCAGUAGGGACGAAGCGCAAGUGACGGUACCUACAGAAGAAGCACCGGCCAACUACGUGCCAGCCGCCGCUGUAA